rnacentral:snRNA from 1 species
UGGAUUGUUCACCCACCAAU